rnacentral:tRNA from 1 species
CGCGGGGUGGAGCAAUCUGGUAGCUCGUCGGGCUCAUAACCCGAAGGUCGUAGGUUCAAAUCCUAUCCCCGCUA